rnacentral:rRNA from 1 species
CCCGGUGAUGAUUGCAGUGGAGCUAAACCUCUUUCCAUUCCGAACAGAGAAGUUAAAACCACUAGCGCCGAAAAUACUUGAAGAAAUUUCUGGGAAGAUAGGUCGUCGCCGGGA